UAACGUUGUAUAUGAUGCCCCCCAUAGGGGGCUUCACAGCGAUUUGAGCCUCGUAGCCGUUGGAUCUUGUUUGGUGGUGGAUCUCGUCCGUCCAUUUUUUCACUGUAGAGUAGUCCAGGACGAGGCCCUCGCGCGAACCCGUUUUUUAUCCAUGGGUCAUGUGGCCCGCCCGGCCCGGCGUCGUCGCGCACCUGCUCCUCCUCCUCUCCCUCGCGCAGCUGCCUCCCGCCGCCACCCCGCGCCGCCUCUCCCCUUCUCGUCCCGUCGCGCCGCCCCUUCCCUCGCCUGCGCAUGGCAGCGCCGCCGUCCGCCGUCGCCUCGCGCUCCCAGCCCCGUCGUCGCCGUCGCCUUGCGCCCCCAGCCCCGCCGCUAGCUCGCUCAGCCGCCACAUCCCGCGCCAUCUCCGCCCCCACGCCGCUCGUCGGAGGCCGGCGCGGGCGAUGGGCGGCCGGCCGACCUAUGGAAGGGGCCGCCGGCGCGCCGCCUCGCCACUCGAGCAGCAGCACACGAUGGUAUGGAGCGGCUAGGAGGAGCUUAUGCGUGGCGGCAAGAGGAGGGCAGGGCGUCGGAUCGAGAUCGUCCUCUGCGGAGCUGUGUUCCGCAGGGCAAGAGGAGGCGCCACCACUCCCCACACCUUCUCCUCCGGCGGCAAGGCAGCGCCGUCAUCUUCAUCGCCCCUCCAUCUCCUUCCCCACCCUUCUCCGCCGGUAGCAGGAAGAUGCUGCGGGAGCAACACCCUCGUCCUUGCGGAGUGCAGCGGUUGCCGCCGAGAUGGAAUCGCCGUCGUCCUCAGCGGAGAGGAGCGUGAGCCACUGCCAAGCGGCUCCAGAGAGACAUGCCGAGCCAAGGCCACCAGCUCCUCCCGCAGCUCCACAGGCAAAACAGGGGUCUGCCUGUUCACGACGCCCAGUCGCUCGAGCUCUGCCCCGACUGCUGCUGCUGAGAUGGAGACGACCACGGCAUGUCGAGGUCCCAGAGGUGUGAUGACAGAACCAUUUCCCCAGCGUUCUCUAUCAAGCCAAAGCCUGCAUCUACUACCUUGAGAGCAACACCCAACCUUCUGCAACAAGGUUGAACUUAUAGGGCAGUUAGCCACAUUGUUCAUACCUCAGUAACUACCAUCACCUCCUGCCCAGCUGUGUUGAGAUUGAAUACAGGUCGAUCGGGUCUUAUUGGUAAGCAGCGGCUUGCCUCGCUGCAUAUGGAUCAACAACUUACGACACCCAACUUCCAACCUUGGAUCUAAUGACUUGAUGACAAAUUGUUUGUUGUAGAACACUCCGGUACUGCAUUCUCACUUUGCACCACCGUGUCGGCCAAAGAGACAACCAAAUAUCGAAGCGCAUACAUUAUACUGUACCAGACAAUGCAAAGGUGUGAAGUUCCCUUGUGCUCAAUGGCAACACAGAGCUUCUAGGCCUGACUUGUCAUUCUUCCUGCAGCAUGAUUUGAGGUUCAAAUCUUCGAUUCACUUAAUAUACUCCUAAGUUAAGCGUACUGAUGGUGGUUUGGAUUAGAUCAGGUAGCUGUUGGCACCCAUGAGGCUUCCAGAACAAACUGAAUUUAAUGUGUUGUCUCUAGGUGACACAGUUUAUGCCAUGAGUGUAUCAAAAACAAACUAUGGGCAAUUGAUGUGGCUAGCAGAAUCGUGAUAAUAGGCAGAAAUAACUGAAUCAUUAUUGCUGGCUUUUGCCUAAUGCCAUCAGCCCGAGGUUCCGUGGCUUGAUCUCAACUAUUUGGCCUGAAGUUAAGUCAGACCUACAUCAUUUAGGAGUUUCCUGUAUGAUUUUUGAUUAGCAACAAUCUGUAACAGUACUCAUGCUUCUUAUAUUUUCUUGCAUAUGUAAAAUACGUUUGUGCUUUCCUCUACGAUGUACAUAAAAAUUCCUUGGGAAGAUUUACAUCCCUGACAUCAAUUGGCUACAUAUGAUUCUUUUUAUUGCUGUAAUUGAUGGAUUUAAGAAAAAUACAGAUAGGAAUCCAUACGGUGAGCUUCAUUUUUCACAACUUCCUUUGCAUCUUUAGCAUAUAGCUGAAUAGGGAGUAUUUAUUUUUUCAGUGCCUCCAAUGGUGUACUAAACCAUCUGUUGUAUGGUUGAUAACUUGUAUUCGAUAUCUUUUACUGGUUAUUAGCUGUUGCAUGGUCGAGUUUACCACAAGAUUUUUUUUUUCACCUUGAUGCUCUUCUAUUGUCACCAUAUGUUUGAUCAUUUUUACUGUUGCAACCACCAAUGUUCUGGAACUGAUAGCUUAAAAUAUGAGACUCGAGUUAAGAAAGAAAAUGAAAUAUCCCUUAUGUACGUAGUAUAUAUGAGUGUGUUGAAAAAACUUUUCAUGAAGUAAUAGUAUUGGUAGUGAUCAAGGAUUAAUGUUUUCUAGCUUCCAAUUGUCAUUGAAUAAGAACACCAGUUUUAUAUUGGCAGCAGAUGCACAUCCUAAUUGGUCAUUCAACUUUAACUUGCAGUUCACUGCCAUGAACCCAACAAUGACAAGGCAAAUCAACAGAUACAAUGUAUGAGUGUAUUAAUAAGUAUACAAUCUUGACUAACAUGUUUACUGUCAUGGACUCCAGUUUCUCAACUGUAAGUGCGAUGUGAUUCCCUAGCAGAGAGGAGGCUGAAACAUGGAGCAGCUUCGUGGGCGCAGAAGCAGCAAGCGGUGGUUGGCAUCAGCAAUGAUAGCUACAGAACCAUGCUGUUCUCCUCUUGUUUCCAAGAUGUGUAGUCCAGCUGAGUAGAUAUGUUAGUCACUUCUCAGCAGAUUAUCUCUACAUGGUUUUAAUUGUUAACUGAUA